rnacentral:lncRNA from 1 species
GAGAGAAUAUUAGGCCUUUGUGAUUGGCUUAUUUUACUUGGCAUGAUAGCCUCCAGUUCCAUCCAUUUACUGGCAAAUGCCAUAAUUUUAUUCUUCUUUAUGGCUGAGUAAUACUCCAUGUGUAUAUGUACCACUUACCUUCUUGAUGUAGCUCAUUCAGAUGGCUUAUCUGUUUCCCCUUUGUCCCAGUCUCUCUUUUUUUUUUUUUGUGAUACUGGGGAUUGAACCUAUCUACUGAGCCAUAUCCCCCAGCACCUUUUCUUUUUUUUUUCUUUAGAGACAGAGUUUUGCUGAAUUGCUUAGAGACUUGCUCAGGUUGGCUUUGAACCUGUGAUCCUCCUGCCUCAGCCUCCCAGGCCUCUGGGUUUCUUGAAGAAACCAGCCUGACCUCUUCCUUAGCCUGUAGACCACACAUUCAGCUCUCAUGUUGGCAGCUGUCCAAAGUGCAGAUGAAAACCGCAUCCUUUUGGUCUUCAAAUGUGGUCGCCCCUCUCCAGCUACUAUACAGACCAUAAAGGUGGGUUCUUUGGACUCAGACCUCAUCUCACCUGGUGUCAAGUCUGGCUGCUUUUGUUGAUUUUUUCCCUUUUAUUCUGUGGCUUCAGUAAUGCCCCUGGGGAAGAGGAGCAGUCGGUGCUCACAAGCACAGUAACUGUUCAUUGCAUUGGAAGUGCCAUUCUUGGAAGAAUGCGGAGGCUGUGCUCCUGGGUGAUUAGGUCUGUCCCUAUGGGUUAUUUCCCUACCCAGAGUGACUCCUUAGCAUUCAGAGGUUAAUG